GGGCACAGUGGCGGACGGGUGAGUAACGCGUGAGAAUCUGGCUCUAGGUCUGGGACAACCACUGGAAACGGUGGCUAAUACCGGAUGUGCCGAGAGGUGAAAGGUUAACUGCCUAAAGAUGAGCUCGCGUCUGAUUAGCUAGUUGGAAGUGUAAUGGACUCCCAAGGCGACGAUCAGUAGCUGGUCUGAGAGGACGAUCAGCCACACUGGGACUGAGACACGGCCCAGACUCCUACGGGAGGCAGCAGUGGGGAAUUUUCCGCAAUGGGCGAAAGCCUGACGGAGCAAUACCGCGUGAGGGAGGAAGGCUCUUGGGUCGUAAACCUCUUUUCUCAGGGAAGAACAAAAUGACGGUACCUGAGGAAUAAGCAUCGGCUAACUCCGUGCCAGCAGCCGCGGUAAUACGGAGGAUGCAAGCGUUAUCCGGAAUGAUUGGGCGUAAAGCGUCCGCAGGUGGCUAUGUAAGUCUGCUGUUAAAGAGUCUAGCUCAACUAGAUAAGAGCAGUGGAAACUACAAUGCUAGAGUACGUUCGGGGCAGAGGGAAUUCCUGGUGUAGCGGUGAAAUGCGUAGAGAUCAGGAAGAACACCGGUGGCGAAGGCGCUCUGCUAGGCCGUAACUGACACUGAGGGACGAAAGCUAGGGGAGCGAAUGGGAUUAGAUACCCCAGUAGUCCUAGCCGUAAACGAUGGAUACUAGGCGUG
rnacentral:rRNA from 1 species